CCUACGGGAGGCAGCAGUGGGGAAUAUUGCACAAUGGGGGAAACCCUGAUGCAGCGACGCCGCGUGAGUGAAGAAGUAUUUCGGUACGUAAAGCUCUAUCAGCAGGGAAGAAAAUGACGGUACCUGACUAAGAAGCCCCGGCUAACUACGUGCCAGCAGCCGCGGUAAUACGUAGGGGGCAAGCGUUAUCCGGAUUUACUGGGUGUAAAGGGAGCGUAGACGGCAGCGCAAGUCUGGAGUGAAAUCCCAUGGCUUAACCAUGGAACUGCUUUGGAAUCUGUGCAGCUAGAGUGCAGGAGAGGUAAGCGGAAUUCCUAGUGUAGCGGUGAAAUGCGUAGAUAUUAGGAGGAACACCAGUGGCGAAGGCGGCUUACUGGACUGUAACUGACGUUGAGGCUCGAAAGCGUGGGGAGCAAACAGGAUUAGAUACCCCAGUAGUC
rnacentral:rRNA from 1 species